CAGUUGUGUGCCAGCCAGGUUGUGAAAUUUGUGCAAGUAUUUCAAAGCUAAAAUACAGAACUACAGAUUCCAUUGUUAAUGUUUUAUGAACAUUAAUGUUUAUUUAUUAUUAAUAUAAUUUUAUUUGUCUUCAAAGUGACUAUAAAUUUUCAUUUAGUUUUUCAUUGCACACAAUCAUAUAUUUAUCAAAUCAACCAAGUACAUAUAAACACACACAAACACCCACAGACAUAUAAACACACAUUCACACACUGCUAGUUUUUUUCCCGACUUUAUCUUAUAUGACACCAUUUUUCUACAUUCUUAUAGCAUUGCUCAUUGUUAUGUGUAUUUUUUUCAGACUUCAAGAGUAGUUCAUAUACUGUAAUGUUUAAAUUCUAGUAAAAUAUGAUGCAUUUUUUGUUGCUUCAGUCAUGGAAAAAAAAAUAUAAUAAAAAAAAGUUGGCACAAAUUUUAGACUCGGUCAUUUCUACAUUGGAGAAGAGCAAAUAUCAAGUGGGUCAUUUUUUUCUCAGUGGGAAAAAACAAGUGCAGGGGUUAAAAGCAAAGAAAAAGUGAAGUAGAAAAAGCAUUUCGAAAGGGAGGGGCUCUGAUGGGGCUGUUAUUUUAAGGAACGUGGUUUGUACUGUGGGACGCAUUCAGACACACUUUGACUUUUGUGCAAGAAUAUGCGUCACUCAUGUUUGUUGCUCUGUCUUUUCUUACGGCUCUUCAAUGGUGUUUGUGCAUAUGAAUUGAAGUCAGUAUCCGGGACUGAGGGAGAUUCUGUCACUCUAAACACUGAUACUACAGUAGAGGGACAUGAUCAUAUAAUGUGGACGUUUGAAUCAAAACACCUCCCAAUUGCUCACAUUUAUUCUCCCAUUAACGCUCAUAAAAAUUAUAUUGAUUCUGAGGUUUUUGGAGACAGACUACAGGUGGACUAUAAAACUGGAUCUCUGACCAUCAGGAACAUCAGAAUCACAGACUCCGGACUUUAUCAUGUAAAUAAAGUCCUUCCUACCAGAAGAGCGGAGUCAACGACAUUUAACGUGACUGUUUAUGGUUUCUUGUACACCACCACUCCCAAGAACAAGUCCAGAAACUGUUCAUCAGAAAGAUCAUCAGUGAUAUAUUUUUUUCUUUUUCUUUUUUUCUUUGGUAAUUGAUGCGAUGGAAUUUUUAAUUAAUCAUAACUAACAUUACUCUUCCUUGUAGGAUUAAUAUUUAUAUGCUUUUGAAACCUAAAUGUCCCCAAACCUUGGGCCAAAGUCAGUGUGUGUUUGAAUCAUAUCUGAAUAAAACAAAAGGGGAAAUGAAACUUAGGGACAGCUAGAGAACUAUAUAAAUAUAAUAGCCCCAUGAUAUUGAGUAACCAACAAACUAAUAAACACAUUUGGGCAGAUCUAAAUGUGCUUUUACCUAGUAACAGAAGGGUUUGAAACAAUCAUAUUGUAUAAUGCUUUGCCAUAAGCAGUUGUAUUCUUUUUGCUGGUGGGAUUGUCUGUGAUUGAUACGAGGUCCUCCGGCUGUGAUUAAAGC